GCUUGCCUGCCAAUCCCAUGGAGCCCCAACUUGUACAUAACACUGGUUAGGAGCAUUCCUGGAACCAGAAGACCUCAUCAGUGUACAUAGGAGGGGUCGCGGCUUCGCAAGUGUAACUGAACUCUUAUGAGAUGGAACUCCCCUACCGUUCAGGGAAUGUUGCGACAAAUAAAGAGGCUAGUUUUAAUUGAAAGAGGAGAUGUUCAAAGCCUGCACAGAGAAGGAGGCAAACCACCGGGCUUUAUGUUGGCCAUUGGUCAUAAGCCAUCUGCCUGCCCCAGAUUGCAGUUCUUAAAAGCAAACGUUGUCCUCUUAGCUCAGAUCCUUAUCUGAUGUUGUUUUGUCGGACAAUGCAGUUUUUAGAUGUGCUAUUGGAUGGAAAUCCAUUGGUUGUAAUAGUUCCAUCAUGAUUUGAGUGGUUUAUCUGAGGAUAUAUUUUGCUGUGGGUUAAUUAAUCGAUCGAUUGCUACA